CUUAAAUUGAAGAGUUUGAUCAUGGCUCAGAUUGAACGCUGGCGGCAGGCCUAACACAUGCAAGUCGAGCGGAAACGAG
rnacentral:rRNA from 1 species